rnacentral:rRNA from 1 species
AGGACGAACGCUGGCGGCGUGCUCAUACAUGCAAGUCGAACGAGAAAUCUACUCGGUAGAUGGAAAGUGGCGGACGGGUGAGUAAUAUGUAGAGAAUCUGCCCUAGAGAGGGGGACAACCGUUGGAAACGACGGCUAAUACCCCAUAUGAGCGUACCUGAAAUGGUAUUCUUGAAAACUCCGGUGCUCUGGGAUGAGUCUGCAUCUGAUUAGCUAGUUGGGGGUGUAAUGGACCACCAAGGCGACGAUCAGUAGCUGGUUUGAGAGGAUGAUCAGCCACAAUGGGACUGAGACACGGCCCAUACUCCUACGGGAGGCAGCAGUAGGGAAUUUUGCGCAAUGGGCGAAAGCCUGACGCAGCCAACGCCGCGUGAUCGAGACGCUUUUCGGAGUGUAAAGAUCUGUCACAGGGGACGAACGAUGACGGUACCCUGAGAGGAAGCACCGGCUAACUCCGUGCCAGCCGCAGC